UACAGAGGUCCCGAGCGUUGUUCGGAUUCAUUGGGCGUAAAGGGUGCGUAGGCGGCGGGGCAAGUCUGAUGUGAAAUCCCGGGGCUCAACCCCGGAACUGCAUUGGAUACUGCUUUGCUAGAGUACUGGAGAGGGAACUGGAAUUUACGGUGUAGCAGUGAAAUGCGUAGAGAUCGUAAGGAAGGCCAGUGGCGAAGGCGAGUUCCUGGACAGUGACUGACGCUGAGGCACGAAGGCCAGGGGAGCAAACGGG
rnacentral:rRNA from 1 species